rnacentral:rRNA from 1 species
AUACGUAGGUGACAAGCGUUAUCCGGAUUUACUGGGCGUAAAGGGCGUGUAGGCGGUCUUGCAAGUCAGAAGUGAAAUUCCUGAGCUCAACUCGGGCGCUGCUUCUGAAACUGCAGGACUUGAGUGCUGGAGGGGAUAGCGGAAUUCCUAGUGGAGCGGUAAAAUGCGCAGAUAUUAGGAAGAACACCGGUGGCGAAGGCGGCUAUCUGGACAGUAACUGGCGCUGAAGCGCGAAAGCGUGGGGAGCAAUCAGGAUUAGAUACCCUGGUAGUCCACGCUGUAAACGAUGAAUACUAGGUGUAGGGGGUAUCGACCCCUUCUGUGCCGCAGUCAACACAAUAAGCAUGCCGCCUGGGGAGUACGGCCGCAAGGUUGAAACUCAAACGAAUGGACGGGU